UACAGAGGGUGCGAGCGUUAAUCGGAAUUACUGGGCGUAAAGCGUGCGCAGGCGGUUUUGUAAGCCAGGUGUGAAAUCCCCGGGCUCAACCUGGGAAUGGCAUUUGGGGACUGCAAGGCUGGAGUACUGCAGGGGGAGACUGGAAUUCCUGGUGUAGCGGUGGAAUGCGCAGAUAUCAGGAGGAACACCGGUGGCGAAGGCGGGGUCUCUGGGGCAGUAACUGACUGAGGAGCGAAAAGCGUGGGG
rnacentral:rRNA from 1 species